rnacentral:rRNA from 1 species
AUUGAACGCUGGCGGCAUGCCUUACACAUGCAAGUCGAACGGUAACGCGGGGCAACCUGGCGACGAGUGGCGAACGGGUGAGUAAUAUAUCGGGACGUGCCCUGGAGUGGGGGAUAACGUAGCGAAAGUUACGCUAAUACCGCAUACGAUCUCAGGAUGAAAGCGGGGGAUCGCAAGACCUCGCGCUCGUGGAGCGGCCGAUAUCUGAUUAGCUAGUUGGUGAGGUAAAGGCUCACCAAGGCGACGAUCAGUAGCUGGUCUGAGAGGACGACCAGCCACACUGGGACUGAGACACGGCCCAGACUCCUACGGGAGGCAGCAGUGGGGAAUUUUGGACAAUGGGGGCAACCCUGAUCCAGCAAUGCCGCGUGAGUGAAGAAGGCCUUCGGGUUGUAAAGCUCUUUUGUCCGGGAAGAAACGGCCUGCUCUAAUACAGCGGGCUAAUGACGGUACCGGAAGAAUAAGCACCGGCUAACUACGCGCCAGCCGCCGCAGUAAGAC